CUGAUGCCCAGGCCGCACGUUGCUAACUUCGUUCUCUAUUAAAGCGUUCAAAGAACGAUAGCAUUUCAGCUUCUACGGAGACUGGCAUAGUUGCUAGGAUCUUGGUGAAUUGUUACAACUAUCUUCAUUUUCCAUGAUUAGAAAGAAUUUGUUCAACUCCACAGCUGAGGAUGGGAGUGUGGGCAUAUAUAUGGUUGGAGAUAAUGGAAAUGAGUGGAGCAGCUCCCAUAGCAGUUGGUCAAGAAGGACAAAAUAAGUUAAUUGACAGAGCAAUUGGAGAUGUGCCAGCUAAGAGAGGAAAGGUUUGAGAAGAAGCUUUGGGGCAAAGCUAAAAGGUUGCAGCAAAGCUCUUUGAGAAACUGAAGUGACGAGAAGGUAGUUCCAUGCCAUAUUCAUGUUCUGGUUACUAUGUAUUGCCAACUUCUGGUUUCUAUCUCCAGCAUUUGAAUGUCCUAUUGUCGAAGACAAGCUCAUCAUGGUUGAAUAAUAUAAGCUCCAGCAGCAACUAUUGUAAACAAUUGAAACCUUGAGUUGAUAAACAAAUUUGUAAAAAUUGAUUUCAGAUUUGGCUUUGUUGAGUGAUGACUGAUGAGAAGGAAAAAUGCAGUCUGAAAAAUUAUCCGGAAUGAAUUUAGUAGUAGCUAUAAAAACCUAUUAUUAAGAUUAGGUACUAACAA